rnacentral:sRNA from 1 species
ACGUUCUCGAAGAUGCUCUUCCUCCUCUUCGUCAUCAUCUUCCUCUUCGUCUUCCUCAUCCUCAUCCAGUUCUCGAAGCCGCUCCCGCUCCCCAUCCCCCCGCCGGAGAAGUGACAGGAGGCGGCGGUGAGCAUGUGUUCAGGGAGCGCCAUGCACUUGGGAUGCAGGUGCCUAAGAGUUGAGUCUUGAAUUGUCUUAUGUUUGGGGGGCUGAUGACACCGUCUUUUGUCAGGUACAGCUCUUAUCGUUCACAUGACCAUUACCAAAGGCAAAGAGUGCUGCAAAAGGAGCGUGCAAUAGAAGAAAGAAGGGUGGUCUUCAUUGGAAAGAUACCUGGCCGUAUGACUCGAUCAGAGCUGAAACAGAGGUUCUCCGUUUUUGGAGAGAUUGAGGAGUGCACCAUCCACUUCCGUGUCCAAGGGGACAACUACGGCUUCGUCACUUAUCGCUAUGCUGAGGAGGCAUUUGCAGCCAUUGAGAGUGGCCACAAGCUGCGGCAGGCAGAUGAGCAGCCCUUUGAUCUCUGCUUUGGGGGCCGAAGGCAAUUCUGCAAGAGGAGCU